UACAUGUGGGGCAAGCGUUGUUCGGAAUUACUGGGCAUAAAGGGUGCGUAGGUGGUUUGUUAAGUCACGGGUGAAAGUUUUCGGCCCAACCGGAAAAUUGCCCGUGAUACUGGCGAACUUGAGUGCGUGAGGGGUUACCGGAACGAGCAGUGUAGCGGUGGAAUGCGUAGAGAUCCGGAGGAAGACCGGUGGCGAAGGCGGCCUGCUGGGCAGUUACUGACACUGAUGCGCGACAGCGUGGGGAGCAAACAGG
rnacentral:rRNA from 1 species